rnacentral:rRNA from 1 species
AUGAUGAACAAAGUUGGCAAUGUGGCUUAUAAAUUGUUGCUUCCAGCACAAUCUCAAAUCCACCCAGUUUUUCAUAUUAGCCAGCUUAAGAAACACAUUGGCUCGACAACGAUUCCCUGUGCAGACCUACCUUUAAUUGGACCCAAUGGACAGAUCAGAACGGAACCAGUACUUGUAUUGGAGAUCCGCCAAGUUCCGAGGAAUAAUAUACCUGUGGUGCAGUGGCUGGUACAAUGGGAAAAUUUACCACUUGAAGAUGCUUCGUGGGAAGACGCCAAUUUCAUCAAGCACACGUUUCUGAGGGUUUUUCAAGCAAACGGUGGAGAGCUGGUGCAAGCACGGCCCACCUUGAGGACAAGGUGUGUUUCGACAGGGAGGCACUGUCAGGUAUCUGAAGUGUAA